GGGUAUAUAAGGCAAUGUGUAUUAUUGCUCCACACACACUCAGCCAAGUAGUCGGUUAUCCAGCCUCACUAUCUCUUCCUUAAGUGAUCUAUCAGCCCAGUGCAUCAACCCAAGAUGAACUUCCUCCGUGCCUUGGUAGUGCUCCUGGUCGUGGUGGUCUCCCUGGCCACGGUCACCAACGCUAGUCCAUUAUUUGGUCUUUUUGGUGGUCGUCGAGGUCGAGGUGGUCGUUCACGCUCUAGGUCUUCCGGUGUUGGAACCCGGGAGGUCCCAGACCCCUACGCCUACGCCGCCCCACAAUUCGCCGGUGCCUUCCCUGUAUUCCCCAACUUCGUCACUGGAGUUGGUCGUUGAGACAUUCCUGAGAACAUCGUGUUUCUCUACGAUGUACCAACUGCAUAAGUCACUGUGCCGUACGGUGUUCUCUUGACUGAGACUCCGACGAGGCAUCAAGGCGCCAACCAGGCCGUCUUAGGCCGCCACUACAUGGCACCUGGUCUAGGGGUACCUAGGCCUCCACAUGCUUCACCCUGGUGAGUGUGAGUACCAGAUGGCCCCACAUACCUCAUCAACCUGAUGAGUGUCAGUGAGGGCCAAAUGGCUCCGUUUAUGGAGGUACUACACCCCGAGACCAACCUUCCCCACAGGCCGGAAGUGUUGCAGAGUCGAGAGAAAAAUCUGUAGAUUGUCUCCUGACUGGUGACGAAAUCCGACAAAUUUUGGCUGUUUAUUGAGUUUAGUCACGAGACGAGAGAAGUCGCCCAGUGCGAGUCUUUCGUGUGGCUCAUCAUCAUGUGUGUUUCUGAGAGUGUUUUGCUGCGAGUACACCCAAGUCUGGCUCCCAGCUGACAGUUCACAGCUGCGAGUAGACCCAAGUCUGGCUCCAAGCUGACAGUUCACAGCUGCGAGUAGACCCAAGUCUGGCUCCCAGCUGACAGUGCAGAGCUGUGACCGGACAUACGUCUGGCUUCCAGCUGGCUCCUUCAAGCAAUGCUUGAAAUUUACUUUUAUCUGUGAUAAUUACUUUUCUAAUAACAUAGAAUAAUAAGUUAGGCUUUGCUGUUAAUAAGAAAUAACACUUAAUCUUGUAAUCUAAAUCUUGCAAAUGUAUAAUAAAUAUUUUUGUACACAAAUCACAAA